CUACUUAUCUGGUAGUAAAAUUUGAUGUAGCGCAAAUCACUUGUCCUAUUUUAAAGUAAACGAUUUACAGGCAGCUUAAGUUGUUCCUUCUGGUGUCGGCCUCUGCUGAGACCUAUAUGAUCAGAUACCAUAUUUACUUUGUGGUAAUGACGAGUAAAUAAGAAUUUAGUAGUUAUAUUCACUGGUUAGUCAUAUGUAUUUAGAUUUUACUGGGAAAAGAUUUCGAGGUAAAUAGCCUGAGGUACAAGCAGUAACCGAGAACACCUAAUCUCAAAUCUGGUUCAAAGGCACAUCAUGGAACCAGAAUUAUAAUUCCACAGUUGAAACCGGAAUGAAUCAUAUGCCGCACUAUGUCAUUGCGUCUAGCGUGCUUCAAUCAACUGUACAAAUUGCAGGGCAAUGCUGUGUAGCACAGCUUGUGGAUUGCAACAAACAUGGAGGGCAGUGAAGCAGGUCUAUGUCAACCAUGACCAGCAGUGGUUCAGUGCUGCAUAGUGUGAUACAUACAGCAGAGCUGUGGGUCGAUUCUUCUUCGCCCACAGAGGUGAGCUUUUCUUACAAGCUGUGCCUUCUUCGCAGGAUUCUGUUUUCUACCUGAUUGUUGUUGUUGUUCCUUCGAGGACGCUUGCAAUCAAGUUUAUGACUCAUCUCUAGCUGCUUCAAGAUAUUGAUGUGGGAUUUAGGGGUAUGUUGUGGAUCUUCUCCAUCUUCUCGCUGUUUCAUUUUGUGUGAUACACUGAUUGUAGUAUUCGAAGUCCCCUGCAAUUUUUGAUUUUUAUGACUCCAUCUUUUAGGGUAAAACAUAUUCUUCAGUAAUUUGUUAGUUCUAUUGUAUAUUUUAUAUUCAAACUUGAAUGGUCUGCAGAUUCAUUUAUUUUAUUAUUAUCUGAAACAUUACUUAAUUCCAUAAAUUCUAAAAAUGAAAUGAUUCGAAGACUUGUGAACUAUUAAAAUAAAUUUUGAUGUAAGAAAUUUUAUACUUCAAAAACAAUCAUAAGUAUUUUGAACAUAAAUGAAUAAUUUCAUGUAACUAAGUACUGAUGUGAAUUGAUGUAUGAAAUGGCAUGGUUAUAGGUUUAGAUUUAAAUUAGAGAAAAACAGAAGAGAUGGAUCAAUUAUCAAUAAAUACACAAAUAAAUAAAAUCGCAUUGCGAAAAGAUUUUAACCAUUGAAAACUGUAGGAAAAAGGUAAAUUGUUUUCAAAAUUAUUAUUUACUAAUAAACAAAAAAAUGAAAAUAUAGUAUGUUUUUUUACAAGACAGUGACAAAAAUACACUUUAUACAUUAUUUUGGAUGUCUAUAAUUUAUACAUUCAAGAAUAAUUCAUAAAUAAAACAGUUUAAUAAGUGAUUAAAUUGAAUAAAAUAAAAUAAAUUAAAUUAAAAAUGCGAUUAAAACCCCAAGAUCAAAGUAAUAUUCAAAAUUUAGAUACUAGAAACAUUAUGAUAUGUUCUUUUCAGAAUAAAUAAUAAUAAUAAUAAUAAUAAUAAUAAUAAAAAAAAAAAAAAAACCAUCAUAGAGAUUAUAGUAUAUUAAAAAC
rnacentral:lncRNA from 1 species